UUGUAGUUGCUGCUGAUCUCCACCAGAGGGCGCCAUUACACCAGACACCAGCAGCUGACAGCUGGAACUCACUCACUGAACUUUUAAAGAUGAACACACACGGAGCUCCUCGGUGGAUCCUCCUCAGAGACGGUCCAGUGGUGAGGGACGCUGUCCUGACUCCAGGAGACGCAGGUUCGAUCCCCGCCUCAGCUACGCCACACAGCUUUGUUGGAGGCUUUGACCACUGGCAGCAGCCUCAGAAGAGCCUCCUCUGAAGCAGAGUAUUUCUUCAGGUCAAACACAUCCAGAUCUUUCUGUGAUGACAGUAAGAUGAAGACCAGAGCUGACCACUGAGCAGGAGACAGUUCAUCUGUGGAGAGACGUCCUGAUGUCAGGUACUGUUGGAUCUC